rnacentral:rRNA from 1 species
GAUGAACGCUGGCGGCGUGCCUAAUACAUGCAAGUCGAGCGAAUGGAUUAAGAGCUUGCUCUUAUGAAGUUAGCGGCGGACGGGUGAGUAACACGUGGGUAACCUGCCCAUAAGACUGGGAUAACUCCGGGAAACCGGGGCUAAUACCGGAUAACAUUUUGAACCGCAUGGUUCGAAAUUGAAAGGCGGCUUCGGCUGUCACUUAUGGAUGGACCCGCGUCGCAUUAGCUAGUUGGUGAGGUAACGGCUCACUAAGGCAACGAUGCGUAGCCGAACUGAGAGGGUGAUCGGCCACACUGGGGCUGAGACACGGCCCAGUCUCCUACGGGAGGCAGCAGUAGGGAAUCUUCCGCAAUGGACGAAAGUCUGACGGAGCAACGCCGCGUGAGUGAUGUAGGCUUUCGGGUCGUAAAACUCUGUUGUUAGGGAAGAACAAGUGCUAGUUGAAUAAGCUGGCACCUUGACGGUACCUAACCAGAAAGCCACGGCUAACUACGUGCCAGCCGCCGCUGUAA